UACGGAGGGUGCAAGCGUUAUCCGGAUUCACUGGGUUUAAAGGGUGCGUAGGUGGAUUGGUAAGUCAGUGGUGAAAUCCCUCGGCUUAACCGAGGAACUGCCCUCCAAACUGCUUCGCUUGAGACCGGGAGAGGUGAGUGGAAUUCCCAGUGUAGCGGUGAAAUGCGUAGAUAUUGGGAGGAACACCAGUGGCGAAGGCGGCUCACUGGACCGGUACUGACGCUGAUGCGCGAAAGCGUGGGGAGCAAACGGG
rnacentral:rRNA from 1 species